rnacentral:lncRNA from 1 species
GUUUCCUUGCUGAGCUCUCACUCCAAAGCCAAGUCUUCUGCUGUUCGGUGUCUGCAGCUUUGUUUCUGGGUCCAGGCAGUGGGAUGGAGAAAGGAUGGGGGUGUUCCAACAGCCAGCAUGGAAGGAAAGCUGCUUGUUGAUCAAAGCAGGAAUUCCUGGGUUAAAAGCUGAUAAAUGCUGGAAGGAGGCACUUUCUGAGCACAUGGAAGGCUGUGGCAGGUACUUGUCCUGGUGAAGCUCUGCACUGCUCCUCCUGUGCUGGGAUUUUGUAAGGGGCUGCAUGCGCCCUGCUACCUCCCCAUGUACUGCCUUGCACUGUCACCUUGGGAUUGCCCAAAGCAGGAGGAAGCAGCCCUGCCCCAUGCCCAGGCUCUGCAGGGAAGGAACUUCAGCAUGCUCAAACCUUCCUGAUGCUCCAUACAAGCAACUUGGACAGCACAAGCAUAGGCAGACUGCUGCUGGGUGUGCAGAACACAGCGGUGCUGUGGCAUCCUCACGGCAGGCAGUUGACACUUCCCCUCAUCAUACCUCUCCCAGCUGGCCCCAAACUACAAGGUCCUGCCUUUAUGGAUCACUGAAUCCCUGUGCUUUCUUAAUGAACCUGCGUUUAAUGCUUGACUUCUCCGUGUCAUGUUUAAUUACAGCAGCUGUAACUUCCUUGUUGGUUGGCUUGAAAUAA